rnacentral:rRNA from 1 species
UGGGGAAUUGUUCGCAAUGGGCGCAAGCCUGACGACGCAACGCCGCGUGGAGGAUGAAGACCUUCGGGUCGUAAACUCCUUUCGAUCGAGACGAAUGGCCUCCGGGUGAACAAUCCGGAGGAGUGACGGUACCGAGAGAAGAAGCCCCGGCUAACUCCGUGCCAGCAGCCGCGGUAAGACGGAGGGUGCAAACGUUGUUCGGAUUCACUGGGCAUAAAGCGCACGUAGGCGGCUCGUUUAGUCAGACGUGAAAUCCCCCGGCUCAACCGGGGAAUGGCAUCUGAUACUGGCGGGCUCGAGGUCGAUAGGGGUGAGCGGAACUCCAGGUGGAGCGGUGAAAUGCGUAGAUAUCUGGAGGAACACCGGUGGCGAAAGCGGCUCACUAGGCCGACACUGACGCUAAGGUGCGAAAGCUAGGGUAGCAAACGGGAUUAGAUACCCAAGUAGUCCCUGAGCGGGCUGGCAAGGCGCAU